CCAGACUCCUACGGGAGGCAGCAGUGAGGAAUAUUGGUCAAUGGGCGCGAGCCUGAACCAGCCAAGUCGCGUGAGGGAAGACGGUCCUAUGGAUUGUAAACCUCUUUUGUCGGGGAGCAAAAGACGCCACGCGUGGCGUUCCGAGAGUACCCGAAGAAAAAGCAUCGGCUAACUCCGUGCCAGCAGCCGCGGUAAUACGUAGGAGGCAAGCGUUAUCCGGAAUGACUGGGCGUAAAGGGUGCGUAGGUGGUUUGACAAGUUGGUAGCGUAACUCCGGGGCUCAACCUCGGCACUACUACCAAAACUGUUGGACUUGAGUGCAGGAGGGGCAAAUGGAAUUCCUAGUGUAGCGGUGGAAUGCGUAGAUAUUAGGAGGAACACCAGUGGCGAAGGCGAUUUGCUGGACUGUAACUGACACUGAGGCACGAAAGCGUGGGGAGCAAACAGGAUUAGAUACCCUCGUA
rnacentral:rRNA from 1 species